rnacentral:rRNA from 1 species
GCAAUGGCGGGGUGCUUACCAUGCAGUCGAACGAUGAAGCCCAGCUUGCUGGGUGGAUUAGUGGCGAACGGGUGAGUAACACGUGAGUAACCUGCCCCCGACUCUGGGAUAAGCCCGGGAAACUGGGUCUAAUACCGGAUAUUACCUUUGACCGCAUGGUUGUUGGUGGAAAGAUUUAUCGGUGGGGGAUGGACUCGCGGCCUAUCAGCUUGUUGGUGAGGUAAUGGCUCACCAAGGCGACGACGGGUAGCCGGCCUGAGAGGGUGACCGGCCACACUGGGACUGAGACACGGCCCAGACUCCUACGGGAGGCAGCAGUGGGGAAUAUUGCACAAUGGGCGAAAGCCUGAUGCAGCGACGCCGCGUGAGGGAUGACGGCCUUCGGGUUGUAAACCUCUUUCAGUAGGGAAGAAGCGAAAGUGACGGUACCUGCAGAAGAAGCGCCGGCUAACUACGUGCCAGCAGCCGCGGUAAUACGUAGGGCGCAAGCGUUAUCCGGAUUUAUUGGGCGUAAAGAGCUCGUAGGCGGUUUGUCGCGUCUGCCGUGAAAGUCCGAGGCUCAACCUCGGAUCUGCGGUGGGUACGGGCAGACUAGAGUGAUGUAGGGGAGACUGGAAUUCCUGGUGUAGCGGUGAAAUGCGCAGAUAUCAGGAGGAACACCGAUGGCGAAGGCAGGUCUCUGGGCAUUUACUGACGCUGAGGAGCGAAAGCAUGGGGAGCGAACAGGAUUAGAUACCCUGGUAGUCCAUGCCGUAAACGUUGGGCACUAGGUGUGGGGGACAUUCCACGUUUUCCGCGCC